AUUGAACGCUGGCGGCAUGCUUUACACAUGCAAGUCGAACGGUAACAGGCCUUCGGGUGCUGACGAGUGGCGAACGGGUGAGUAAUGCAUCGGAACGUGCCCAGGGGUGGGGGAUAACGCAGCGAAAGCUGUGCUAAUACCGCAUGUGAUCUGAGGAUGAAAGCGGGGGACCAGGCAGCAAUGUUUGGCCUCGCGCCUUUGGAGCGGCCGAUGUCAGAUUAGGUAGUUGGUGGGGUAAAGGCCUACCAAGCCGACGAUCUGUAGCUGGUCUGAGAGGACGACCAGCCACACUGGGACUGAGACACGGCCCAGACUCCUACGGGAGGCAGCAGUGGGGAAUUUUGGACGAUGGGCGCAAGCCUGAUCCAGCAAUGCCGCGUGCGGGAAGAAGGCCUUCGGGUUGUAAACCGCUUUUGUACGGAACGAAAAGGCUCUGGCUAAUACCUGGGGCUGAUGACGGUACCGUAAGAAUAAGCACCGGCUAACUACGUG
rnacentral:rRNA from 1 species